UCUAUAAACGACAGAACCGACCUGAAAAAUUUAUCAAAAAUUUACCAUAGUAUCCUUAAAUAAAAUAAAACUUGUAUUGAGAUGACAUCUGUGAUUCUAAACGUGAAACAUAAUCGAAAUGAAAUAAUAACUUUCAAUACCAUAUUUACUUAUUCAUACAAGCACACAGAUGGCAUCUCAUGUGAUCAAUUGGAAAACUAGGUAGUCAAAAAUGAAACAAUAACAAAUUCAAAUUGACAGAUCCAAUAUAUUUCGUAAUGUUAUAAUAAAUUAAUAAUUUGUAGAUUACAGAUAAAGCAAUGUAAAUGUCCAAGCCAUACCUAUUUCGUAAUCUUGAAAAAGGCUUAUAUACGCCGAAACAUAUGUCGAUUACAAGUUAUAAAAUCUGAA